rnacentral:rRNA from 1 species
GACGAACGCUGGCGGCGUGCUUAACACAUGCAAGUCGAACGGUGAAGCGCCUUCCUUUUUGGUGGGUGUGGAUGAGUGGCGAACGGGUGAGUAACACGUGAGUAACCUGCCCCCUUCUUCUGGAUAACCGCAUGAAAGUGUGGCUAAUACGGGAUAUUCUGGGUCUGUCGCAUGAUUGGUCUGGGAAAGAUAUUGUGUCGGUGGGGGAUGGGCUCGCGGCCUAUCAGCUGGUUGGUGGGGUGAUGGCCUACCAAGGCGGGGACGGGUAGCCGGCCUGGGAGGGUGGCCGGCCACAGUGGGGCUGCGCCCCCGCCCCGACUCCGACGGGGGGCAGCCGUGUAGAGUAGUGCACAGUGGGCGCAAUCCUGAUGCAGCGCCGCCGCGGGGGGGAUGGCGGCCUUCGCGUUGUGACCCUCUUUCGCCAGUGAAGCAGGCCUGCCUCGUUUGUGGGUGGGUUGACGGUAGCUGGAUAAGAAGCGCCGGCUAACUACGUG